CAGAAAAAAAAAAAUCAGCUUCUCCAUGUGUCUGUUUAGUUUUAUAUGUCAUACAAUUUAAGAAGUGUUACAGAAAAAGAGCAGGAGAAGUGCAAAAGCCACCCAAUUGUGGGGCUUUUCCAAGGAUGUACACCUAAUGUUAAUCAUCACAUUUGUUUUAGCUUCCUUACUGUUCUCCAUUAACCCUUUACAGGGCACUCAUUGGCUGUCAGGGUUAGAAAUUUGGAAAAAUUCUACUUGAAUUUAGACAGAAUUCUGUUUUGGGGACAGGCUUAAUCCGCGGCAAUAGGAACUAACAGUAAUUGUGUGCAAGAUCAAGUAAAAUGUUCCUUGAAGUGGUCGGUGUACUACCUUUUCAUCAACAAAAAAGAUUAAAUGCUCCAUGAGUCAUGACAUCCUUCUAGUUGUCCUGUGCUGGCGAGCUGACAGCUGAAUUGUCAACCAAAGCUUGUACCACUGUUUUUAGACUGCGUGGUAGUUUGAAAGUACAGAAACAGUAAACGUGUUUAGAUUUCUGUUGGUGUGCAGGACAUAACAGUACAAAUCAUAUCAUUGUAUUAAAAAAACAAAAAAACAAAACAUGUUAAAUCAUUUGCUUUGUCAUGAAGCCAUAAUUGUGCACAUUUGCACUUAAGACUGCAUUUGGAAAAUAUGUACAACUUGCCUAGUGGACUUUGUUAACUGUCCUGGUAUCCAUGGAGAUGACACGUACGGACAUCCAUACAAACAAACCCAACUCAACAUUGAGGUGAAACAAAUACAUACAUGAAAGGACGGUGGAGCCACCAACUAUUUCUGCAAAAUAAAGAUUCUCAAGCGUGGAUAGAAAAUCUCAAGAUGAUAUUUGUUGUGUACAAGUGGAGGGGACAGUCAGCAGUGUUUAUGUGCACGUCCAGGUGCUUCGUUCCCUGCAUCCUGGGCAGCUGGACAUCCGCUUCUUCCUCACUGUCAUCUGACUCCGCACUGGUGAUGUCAUCCUCCUCUCCCUCAUCAUCUUCCUCUUCAUCCUCUUCCUCGCUGUCCUCCGUGGCCUGGAGAUCCUGCAGAUUCUGACCAAAUUAGGACAAGGAGAUGGCUUCGAGAUUCCCCUUUACUAUAAUCCAGUGGACAUGCUGCCCUUUCUCCUUUAUGCCUCCAGUUGCUUCAUUUUCUGUCUAUUAGAGCUGGGUCCAUCCUCAUAAAAUACAUGGAGAUUGGCAGGAAACAGUGUCUGAAAGCAGCUCUUCCUUGGCUUUAACACUCCUUUUGCCCCGGUAAUCUGUGCAUUUCAGCAGGAUCACAGAGGGGUAGUUGUGAUUAAAAAGAAAUCGAUCUCCUGUUCCAAAACAUCUUCUUCUUUCCCUAAGAUUUGUGGAAUGUCUUUUCCAUGGUUUUGUAUACAGGCAAUUUGAUUAUUAUAAGCCUCAAUAUAUCACAGACUGCCAGGUCCAUAAAUAUUGCAAGACUGACAUCAUUUUCGUCCUUUUGGCUCUAAAAACCACAGCAAUAAAUGAAACUAACAACUGCAGUCUUUCAUCUUAAAUUUGAGAAUGUUUACAUACUAAUCAAACCAACAGAGUAGUAAUUAUAUAUGCCUCCCGAUUUUUACCAAAAGUAAUUGGACAAAUUAACAGUCAUGAAUUGAACUUCUUGGUUACUUUCACAAUUUUAGUCAUUGUCCUUCAGUAUUUUGAAGCACCGUCAAAUGAGUUCUGAAGCAUUUUCCUAAUUCUAAAUUCAUCAUACUCCUUUGUAUUUAUUCUCACAUCAUCAAUAAAUACAAAUUAAAUGUUUAAAUGCCCACCUGGUCAUGGCACAGCUGAACGGUCAAAUGACCAAUUAUUUUGGUCCCUUCAAAAGUGCGAGACAUAAAAACUGGCAAUUCCUACAUGCCUGAUUUGGAUGUACUAAAUGCCGUCAAAUGAAUGAUGAAAGGCUGUAGGUAAAGCAUAUCUUGUUUGUUUCAUUUUAAAUCCAUUGUGGUAGUACUUAGUGCCCAGUGAUGAGAUUUGUAUUGAUGUCCCAAGAUAAUUUAUACAAACCUGACUACAUUUGGCUUUUGGUGUAUUGUUGCUUGGUGUCUCAAUGUUCAGGUCUAUAUUUGGAGUGAUUUAUAAAUUGUCUCGUCACACUUUCAUUAUAGGCAACCCCUAUUUUUCAUCUGAAUCUCCUUAUUUGUAGAGUAGUUUGUAUUUGUCUUAUUUCUGUUGAGCAUUUGUUCUAUGGUUUGGUCUUCAUCAUCUAUCAA